rnacentral:rRNA from 1 species
AGAGUUUGAUCCUGGCUCAGAUUGAACGCUGGCGGCAUGCUUUACACAUGCAAGUCGGACGGCAGCACAGAGAAGCUUGCUUCUUGGGUGGCGAGUGGCGAACGGGUGAGUAAUAUAUCGGAACGUACCGAGUAAUGGGGGAUAACUAAUCGAAAGAUUAGCUAAUACCGCAUAUUCUCUGAGGAGGAAAGCAGGGGACCUUCGGGCCUUGCGUUAUUCGAGCGGCCGAUAUCUGAUUAGCUAGUUGGUGGGGUAAAGGCCUACCAAGGCGACGAUCAGUAGCGGGUCUGAGAGGAUGAUCCGCCACACUGGGACUGAGACACGGCCCAGACUCCUACGGGAGGCAGCAGUGGGGAAUUUUGGACAAUGGGCGCAAGCCUGAUCCAGCCAUGCCGCGUGUCUGAAGAAGGCCUUCGGGUUGUAAAGGACUUUUGUCAGGGAAGAAAAGGCUGUUGCUAAUAUCGACAGCUGAUGACGGUACCUGAAGAAUAAGCACCGGCUAACUACGUGCCAGCAGCCGCGGUAAUACGUAGGGUGCGAGCGUUGUCCGGAAUUAUUGGGCGUAAAGGGCUUGUAGGCGGUUUGUCGCGUCUGCCGUGAAAUCCUCUGGCUUAACUGGGGGCGUGCGGUGGGUACGGGCUGACUUGAGUGCGGUAGGGGAGACUGGAACUCCUGGUGUAGCGGUGGAAUGCGCAGAUAUCAGGAAGAACACCGGUGGCGAAGGCGGGUCUCUGGGCCGUUACUGACGCUGAGGAGCGAAAGCGUGGGGAGCGAACAGGAUUAGAUACCCUGGUAGUCCACGCC